rnacentral:rRNA from 1 species
UACUAACCGUGCGAACGUUAUUCGGAAUCACUGGGCUUAAAGCGCGUGUAGGCGGGUUGUUACGUCGGUCGUUGAAAGCCCCCGGCUCAACCGGGGAACGGGCGCCGAUACGUCCGCCCUGGAGGGACGUAGGGGGACCUGGAACUUCCGGUGGAGCGGUGAAAUGCGUUGAGAUCGGAAGGAACGCCCGUGGCGAAAGCGAGGUCCUGGACGUCUGCUGACGCUGAGACGCGAAAGCCAGGGGAGCGAACGGG